rnacentral:tRNA from 1 species
GCCUGGCUGGCUCAGUGGGUGGAGCGUGGACUCUUGAUCUCAGGGGGUUGUGGGUUCGAGCCCCACGUUGGGUG